GUGCAAAAUGAUGUCAAGCAAGAUUUCUCUUGCUUUCUUUACUCUUAUAACCUUAUCCCUAAUCCUUCCCUCUCGUGCCCAAGACAACCCACAAGAUUACCUCGAUGCUCAUAAUGCAGCUCGUGCAGCUGUAGGUGUUGGUCCACUAACCUGGGACAACACGGUGCAAGCCUAUGCACAAGCUUAUGCUAGCCAACGUGCCGGCGAUUGCAACCUUGUUCUUUCAGGUGGACCUUAUGGGGAGAUCCUUCAAUGGAGCAGCGCGGACCUUUCAGGUACAGAUGCUGUAAAAUUGUGGGUUGAUGAGAAGGCUUUCUACGACUACAACUCCAACUCAUGUGCCUCUGGCCAGCAGUGUGUGUCCUAUACUCAAGUGGUUUGGGGUAACUCUGUUAGCCUAGGAUGUGCGAAAGUGACUUGUAGCGCUGGAGGAACCUUCAUUGUGUGCAACUAUGAUCCACCCGGCAACGUUGUUGGGCAAAAACCUUACUAAACCUUUCUGAUUAUGAAAUCAGUGCUUCUAUUACCUGGAAUAAUAAUGAUAAAUAAGCUGAUUUAUAUUGGCAUUAAUUAAUAAAUGAUAGAAAAAUAUUUGCUACAUCUUGAUGAUAUGCUGGCAUACAGGAAGUUCACGUGGUAUACGUUUGGAUGGUUUUUUUUUUUAUAAUUAUGUUCAUAUAAUUUUAAUUACAGUCAGAAUGAUCACAACUUAUGUACUGUUAUAGCAUCCACUUUCAAUUCAAAUUAUUAUUAAGUUGAACUAAAAUUGGAUGUUUUAGAAAGUGAAAAUUAAUCAUGCAUAACGCUCAUAUGCAUACUAGCAGAUUACCCUCCGUUUUGUUGCUUUUAUAUAUAUAUAUAUAUAUAUAUAUAAUAAGAUGAAUAAAAUCAGAUAUGCAUACAAAAAUGAUUGAGAAUUUGAUAACUUUACUAUUAUAUGUGAAUUCACAGUUUGCUUUGUGCCCAUGAUUAAGAAGAACAAAGAAAAAAAAACGAAGGAAAGAAGUACCUCUGUGCCUGGAAUGGAGACGGCUAUAUAGGUUACAAUUAGUCAUUUGCGUUCAUGUCUCCCUGGCCCAGAUUUCUGCCGAUGAUUUUGUUAAAGCCCUUAACGAGAUUCGUGUACAGGUUGAGGAUGUCCCGAUUUCUUGGAACGAAACAUUGGCAGCCGAAGCAAGGAAACUUGCUAUACCAAGGAUCUCCUGCUGCAAUUUAAUCGAAGACAUGUUCACUGAAGGCCUCUUAUCCUUUGACUGCGUCUGAAGCUGUUGGGUUGUGGUGCCAGCGAGAAACCUUCCUAAAAUUAUUUUGCCUAGUGAAAAAUUUUACAUGAAUAUUUUGUUUUUGAAAUUGGAUGUCAAAUAUUCAAAGCAAGCUAUCUAAUGCAUAAAUUUGUGAGAGAUUUUCACUGUAUAUUUUUUAUUGCACAGUUGUUUUUUAGUUUAGUCCUCAAACUUUGUUUUUCUCAAUCAUGUUUUAUUUAAGGAGCAAUUAAUUUUAAAUUCUUAUAAAAUGAUGGGAUUGGAAGAGGGGGGACUAAAAUUAAAAACACGGCAAACAUAGGUGACGUAUCAUAAAUUUAAAAAACAUUCACUUUGGUCCUCCAAACUUAAAUAAUCACGCAAAUUAUACAAUUACAGUUCCUCGAAAUUGUUCCAAUUUCAUUUUGUUACAGAGAUUUAUUUUGGUUAUUUUUUAGUCCCUAGUUGAGAGAGGAGUCACCGGAUCCCGACAAUAGAGAGAGAAACUUGUCGUUGGCACCGAUUUAGACCACUAAAAUAAAAUAUUUUUGUGUCAAAUUGUUUCAUUUGAUGCAGAACGUUCAUAUUAGGUGUUUGUGUAACUUAAAAGUUCUUGAAAAAACAGAUCUAAGUUCGGGUUUAUUUUUUGUUUCGGGUUGAGUUCGGUUUUUGGGGCGGUUUUUUGUGUUUUUUUAAGGACAUGAAUGGGUUUGUCAUGAUUUCUAGGGUGUUUUGGGUCGAAAGAAUGUUGUCAAACAUGUUUUGAGUCUAAAGAGCAUAGACCCUGAUUUUCCAGCCAAUACAAUAGCUGAAAUCUGGGCAAAAUAGGCAACACAUCAUUUGUUGCUAGUAUGAGUGUCAUACCCAAAACGCUUGGGUCUAACAUGGUUUUCUUUUCAAAAUAGCAUGACAGAUUUGAGCACUCUAUUCAGUGAUUAUAUAAAUGUGAUAUAGGUCUUCUUUGUAAAAUACUCUUCGAGACCAUGUAUUGUUAACAAAACAUUGAAUUCCUGUCGUGAUGAUCAAAAGUAUGCAAAUUCAAGGGUUGAAAACUGUGAAUUAGAGCAUUCAGGAGGACCCUAUGGUGAGAACAUUGCUGAAGGUGGUCCAAUGCUCACUCUUUCAGAAUUAAUAAUAUGUGGUCUCCUCCUACAGAUUUGAUCAGAUCGGCAGAUGGCCUAUUUCGGUGGUCCAAUGCUCACUCUUUCAGAAUUAAUAAUAUGUGGUCUCCUCCUAUGAUUAAUAGCCUCAAAUGGAACGUGGAUGGCUAUUCUCUUGGUAAGUCAGGCCCCUCUAGAAUAGGUGGUGUGCUGCGAAAUCACCAUGGCCAUCUUCUCGGUAGGUUCUCUGUUCCAGUUGGGAUUUUAGACUCUAAUAUUGCUGAGUUAAGGGCUAUUGUCAAAGUCAUUGAACUAUCAACAUCUAAUUGUCUCCUCCACCAUCAACAUCUCAUCAUAGAAUCUGACUCUGCCAAUGUUAUUAGCUGGAUGUAUAAGCCUCACAUCCGUCCCUGGAAGCAUCACAAUCUUUUCUCCUUUGUCAAUAGACUGAAUGCAUUUUUUGGCUCAAUCACCUUCUCUCAUAUCUUUCGUGAAAGUAAUUGCCUGGCAACUCUGCCAAUGUUAUUAGCUAGAUGCAUAAGCCUCACAUCCGUCCCUGGAAGAAUCACAAUCUUUUCUCUUCUGUCAAUAAACUGAAUGCAUUUUUUGGCUCAAUCACCUUCUCCCAUAUCUUUCGUGAAAGUAAUUGCAUGGCUAAACAAGGAGUGCGGAGUUCAAGUGAAUUUGUUGCCUGGUUUUGACUCUACCAUUAAUAUUGUGGCCUUGCUUAUAUGUCUUCUGCUGUUAUGCUGUUGAGUUUAUUUGUGUUCUGUUUUGUAGAGGAAUGCUUAGCUAUGAGUUCAUUCGGAUGGAUAUUCUCUGGUUUUCUUUGCUUUUACUUAUCUUAUACUGUGUUUUAUCUUUUUUAUGGUCUUUUUCAUAUGAAAAUAUUGUGCAGCUUCUGUACUAAUCUCGCCAGACUUUGGCGUUUAAAUGAUAUAAAUAUCUUUCAAAAAAAAAAAAAAAAGAACAUUGCUGAAGGUUAUGGUAACUUGAAUGGAGUGGAUGUAGUCAAAAUGUGAGCAAGUGAGAAGCCUUUCUAUAGCCAUGAUACCAACUCAUGUGUCGGUGACGAGUGCCUGCAUUACACUCAGGUUGUGUGGCGCAAAUCGGUUCAUUUAGGGUGUGGCAGAGCUAAGUGCAAGAAUGGGUGGUGGUUUGUCACUUGCAAUUAUGAUCCUGUUGGAAACUUUGAGGGUCAAAGCCCGUAUUGAAUUAUGUUGCUUGGAGUUCUAGCUAGUAGUCAGCCACACAAAAAUAAAAUAUAUAAUUAAGAAGAUAAUGAAAUAUUUUCUAUUGAAGGAUUUGUUUGCAUAAUUAUAAUAUUUAGGACCAAAAUCUACUUGUAUGUUUGUGUUUAAAGAAAAGGGUGAUGCUAUGGGUAUUAAAUUUUUUUUACUAUGCGUUUUGAUGUUUUUUCAUGCUAAAUUCACUCCUAAAAAUACGGUUUUAAUUGCAAAAACAAACAGCUAGCCUCUUAUAAAUCUUAUUUACUAUGAUGUAAGAUCUGCAUAUUAAUUUGUCAUCAGUUGUAACAAAGUGAUCAUUCUGGUCUCAAUUGGAGAGAAAAAAAGGGUCAUCGAUGUCCUCAAAUUUAACCAAUAUAAACUCAGUUGGCAAUGGAAUUAAUAAUGUAGGCAACUGAGCUGGCAUAAAAUAUUCAAAACCAUGAUUUGGAUUUGAUUAUGAUAUUAUUCGAAGAAUUAAUGGAAACUAAUUAACCAAUAAGGAAGACAUCAGAUAUGUAAUAUUGCUCUCUGGUUUCAUAUGCUACUCGUAAUAAUUCUUCCAUAUAUUAAGCCUCGCAAUUCCUUCCAUUUCUGGCAUUUAAAGAUUUCUGUAUAUUAUGGCAUUUAAUUACUUACCAUAUGCAGGUAAAUUAGAAAUCAACUGUCGGGUAGUAAAUUUGAAAAGUUAUCAAAUGAAUUUUAACCUUUUACCAUUCAUUUAAUGUGAGAAAUUAAAACAAACAAACAAUUCAAUGAAUCAACAAAUUGGUCUAUGUAUAUACAGCAGCAGCAGCAUUAAUUUCUCCAAAUUUGUUCUGUCCAAGGAAUGAAGUUUACGAGGUCAUCUCUGAUAUAACUACGACACAAAUGCCUGUGUUAAUAGAAAUUGCGACCACUACACUCAGGUUGUUUGGAACGAGUGACUGUUGGAUGUACAAAGGCUCGGUGCAGAACUGGGUACUGGUUUAUCUCCUGCAGCUAUUAUCCUGAGAGAAAUACCCCAACAAGACGCCCAUAGAUAAAACACUAACUGAUUCGAAAUUUAUCUCUUGCAGCUAUUGUCCUGCGCUGCACUGUUCAUACCCUCACAUAUUAUUAUGAAUUCCUGUCUGUUUAUUUUUUUAGUUUGGUCAUUAAAUUUUUAUUUUGAGUGAUUUAAUCCCAAUUGAAAGCCAAUUACUUCUGAUUUCUUAAACAAAUGUAAAAUUGGAAGAAGGACCGUGGAGAAAAAAGAGCGCAAGAUGGGUGACAUGUCCAGAGUUUGUGUGAAAAGUACACUUUGAUCCUUUUACUUUACAAAUAAUAUAAUUUUGGUCCCUUUAAAUUUUAAAAAUUCAAUGUGGUCCAAAACUUCAUUUUUUGUUUAUUUUGUAGUUCCUCAGAGAAGGAAUCGCUAGAUUCCAACAAUAAAGAAAGAAAGUUAUCAUCGAUACUGAUUUGAACCAUAAAAAUAACCAAAUUUAGUUUUAACGAGUUCUAUUUGAUAAGGAAAGUUUAACUUGGAUAUUAUUUUACCCUAACAUCUAACAUCAUUUGUAUUUUGAGUUGAUUUUUUAUUUUUGAAUCAAUUUUAGACUUUUUAAAAGUAUAAAUAUGUUUAUUUAGGUUCGGUUAAUUUAGGUGAAAUUAAAGAGUAGAAUGUGAUGUUGAGGUUUGGAUCGAAAACUGGGGGGGUUGUGCAGGGUGUUAUGCUUUGGGCACAUCCCGGAUAUACUUGGAAAACCCCGGGGAAAAAAAUUUGGAAACCCCCCUAAACAACAUGGGAUCCCUCCCUAGAACGGGGCACUGGAAUUUUUUUUUUCCAUGGGUAUUUCGGUCCAAAACUUAAACCUUUUCUUUUAGGGAUUAAAACCCCCCCCCCCCCCCCCCCCACCAUUCUCGCAAUUCAACUAAUAUCUAUCCAAAAGUCUCCUCACUAUCAUCAUCAUUAUUAUUAUAAUUACCCCUAUUCUUCCUCCUAUGAUAUUUAUCACAGGUAAACAAUUCUUCAUCUUCACAUACUUUGAACAACGAGUGUGCACUCACAUGCACUCCACAAAGAUAUGUACCACUUGUACUACGAAGUACAAACCUAUCAAUAACUUGGAACAUCUUAUUGGUUAUUUUUUAUUUAUUUAAAAAAAACCGCACAAAAAAAGAGAAAAUAAAAUUCUUUAUCCAUAAAAAAAAAUGAUAAAAACAUCUUCAUGCAUCUAAGAUUUAAUUCUCCACUUAUAUUUUUUUUUCUAAAGUGAACUCUAAAAAUAACUACUCUCUAAAUACUAUAAAUUUUUUUUGAGGAACUUUAAAAAGAUUAUUUGAUCAGUUUUUGCUCAAUUCUAGCUAGCAUGUUCCGCAAUUGACGAUUAGCUAGGGAGACAUAGUGUUUUUUUCACAGACUAUCCGUGUGCAUCACUUUACACGAAAAAUUAAAAAAAGAAUAAUCAAGAGUCUAAGUCGUGGAUUAAAAAAAGUGUCUGCUCAUCUUUUUGAAGUUAUCUAGAUAUAGAAUCAAUUUAAAAAUAAGUUUUUUUCAAAUAAAAAACUUAUCCAGUGUCUGCUCAUCUUUUUUGAAGUUUUCUAUACUAAUUCUGGUUUUGCAACUCUGCAUUAUUAAGUUGUAAAUUCUAUCAAUCACUCAACAAUUUGAAAAAAUAAAAUGUUAUUGUUAUCAUUAAAAAAAAGCAUUUUAAGUUUUUUUUAAAAAUUAAUAACCAACUUGCUGUUUGUAUUAGAAUAAUAGUACCAAUUAUUGUACUGCUAAGCAAAUCUAGCUAUCAAUAAAAGGAAAACCUCGAGGAUUAGGAUUAGGAAGCAAAUCAAGCAACUGUAGCUAUUAAAAAGAAGAGAAUCUGGAGGAAGAUUAGAAAGCAAAUCAAGUAACUGUAGCUAUCAACAAGAGAAAAAGCUGGAGAAAGAUUAGGAAGAUCAAUUGAUCUGAUUUACCUCAUGUCUUCUGCUGAAUUUCAAAUGUUGAUAAGAUUUUUUGUUAAGAUUAUUAUGUUGUACCAAAACUCUAUAAAAAGUAACCUUGUAUCUGUAACAUUCAAGUGAGAAAAAUACAUUUUCUACUUCAUUGUUUUCUUUGAGUUUACAAUUAUAAUAAAAAAUAUUCAAAUUAUUUUAUUUAAUGUGGAGAGUUCAUAUUAAGUGUUUUUAUACCUUAAAAGUUCUUGAAAAAACAAAUUUUAAUUUUAAUUAAGAAUAUCCAUGCAUCUGAAUUUUGUAUCUUUAUACUCUUAUAACUAAUAUUUAUUAGUGAGACGUAAUCUUUUAUAUGCUUUUUAAGAAUUUUUCAUUCUUAUAUGUGCUCUUAUAUAAAUAUUGUUUUCUAAUAUAUAUAUAUAUAUAUAUAUAUAUAUAUAUAUAUAUAUAUAUAUAUAUAUUUCAUCUUUAGCACUAAAAUAUCUUUCAAACUAUAUGUAAAAAAAAUUUGAAGGAUUUUAAAAAGAUUAUUUGAUCAGUUUUUGCUCGAUUCUAGCAUGUUCCGCAAUUGACGAUUAGCCAAGGGGGGUAUAGUGUUUUUUUUUACAGACUAUCCGGGUGCAUCACUUUACACGAAAAAGAAGCAGAAUAGUCAAGAGACUAAGUCGUCCAUUUCAAAAAAAAUAAUCAAGUACUGUCUGCUUCUGACUAAAGGAUCUUUUUGAAGUUAUCUGGAUUUAGAAUCAAUUUUAAAAUAAUUUUUUUCUACACUAAUUCUGGUAUUGCAACUCGGCAUUAUAUUAAUUUGGAAAUUCUAUCAAUCACUCAACAAUUUGAAAAAAAAAAAAAGUGUAUAGAAAGCACGGGUUUGUUAUCAUAAAAUUAAAAAAAAGGCAUUUUAACUAUUUCUUUUUUUAAUUAAUAACCAACUUGCUGUUAUAAUUAUUUUCACCUUACAUAUAAGCUUUUUUAAUUGCCAACACAUGCUUGACCUCAAAAAAAAACAAAAACCUUCACUUUUUUUUCUGUCUUUUGGGGUCUUGACUCAUGGUCAUGAGAUAAAACACGUUCGGAUAUUCUCGAAUAUGCUAACUUUUGAUGGGUAUGUUACACGCUCUUCUUCUCUUAAUUUUAUGAGAGCUAAUAUAUAUUUUCGAAUAAAUUCGGCAAAUAAAGAUUGAAUUAUUUUUGUCAUUCUGCUAAGGUCAGUUAUUGCUAAAACUUUAAGAUUUAUGAGAGCUUUAACAUCCCAAAAGGAGAUCUAUCCCUAAAAAUCAGGCUAAUAUUCCCUCGUAUUCAUGUUAAUCCAUUUUGUAUAUCAUGCAUGGUUUGUACUUUGUAGGUUUAAAAGAAUAUUUUUUAAAAAGAAAUUCUUUGAAUGAUUACAUGUCACUAGGAAAUCAAUUAGUUGUUCGGUAAUUUUCUUUGAAUGAUUCCACCAAUAGCAUGUCCUUCCUAGAAUAUAAGGCAACAGACAAAAAUCUAAGAGCUUAUUAGGCUUUUCAUCUUAAAAAAAAUUGAAAAUAUUAAUUUGAUGAUCUAGGAGAUUUGUUUUUUUUCAUAUAUUUUUUGAAUUCAAACCUUAGGUUCAAUAUUUACAAAGAUUUAUAAAUUUAUCAGCAUACAUCGUACCGAUAAUAUUUUUUAUUAAAAUUUUCUUUAAGAAAACAUUACUUUUAUGUUAUCCUUUUCAUUAAAUAAAAAAAUAUUAUAAUAUUAUUAAGAUAACUACACAAAAAAAAUAUUAGACUGAAGUAUUUUUUGAUAUUUUAUUAGAUUAGCGUGUUUUAAGCAAUUUAGAUUUGGUUUACUACAAUGUACACAUAUCUUAGAGUUGACAUGCAUGUUCGAUAUAUUUCAUAUUUGAUAGAAUCAUUUAAGAAGAUAUUUAUAUAUAAAUAUCUUAAUAGAAAGUUCACUCAUCAUCAAACAUUUUCAUCCAAUUAAUGUGAAGCAGCCAACAACAUCGACUUUUCCAAGGGACUUGCUUUGGAUCGAGUCUAGUUCCUUUGAUCAUUUAACGCUAUUGUUUUGAACAUUCUACGCAGACUUCGCUUGCAUGCUUCUAAGUCAUCGUUCACAUAAUUUUGCAUAACGCCUAUAAAUACCGUUCGAGCUCUCAUUGUUAUUUCAUCCAUCACCUACGAAAUUCAUUUGCUUUAUCAGAAAAGAAAAGGUGUUCAAAAUGAUGUCAAGCAAGAUUUCUCUUGCUUUCUUUACUCUUAUAACCUUAUCCCUAAUCCUUCCCUCUCGUGCCCAAGACAACCCACAAGAUUACCUUGAUGCUCAUAAUACAGCUCGUGCAGCUGUAGGUGUUGGUCCACUAACCUGGGACACCACAGUGCAAGCCUAUGCACAAAAUUAUGCUAACCAACGUGCCGGCGAUUGCAACCUUGUCCAUUCAGGUGGACCUUAUGGGGAGAACAUUGCAUGGAGCAGCGCGGACCUUUCAGGUACAGAUGCUGUAAAAAUGUGGGUUGAUGAGAUGGCUUACUACGACUACAACUCCAACUCAUGUGCCUCUGGCCAGCAGUGUGGGCACUAUACUCAGGUGGUUUGGGGUAACUCUGUUAGCCUAGGAUGUGCGAAAGUGACUUGUAGCGCUGGAGGAACCUUCAUUGUGUGCAACUAUGAUCCACCCGGCAACGUUGUUGGGCAAAAACCUUACUAAACCUUUCUGAUUAUGAAAUCAGUGCUUCUAUUACCUGGAAUAAUAAUGAUAAAUAAGCUGAUUUAUAUUGGCAUUAAUUAAUAAAUGAUAGAAAAAUAUUUGCUACAUCUUGAUGAUAUGCUGGCAUACAGGAAGUUCGCGUGGUAUACGUUUGGAUGGUUUUUUUUAUAUAUAUAAUUAUGUUCAUAUAAUUUUAAUUACAGUCAGAAUGAUCACAUCUUAUGUGUUAUAGCAUCCACUUUCAAUUCAAAUUAUUAUUAAGUUGAACUAAAAUUGGAUGUUUUAGAAAGUGAAAAUUAAUCAUGCAUAACGCUCAUAUGCAUACUAGCAGAUUAGUUGCUUUUAUAUAUAUAUAUAUAUAUAUAUAUAUAUAUAUAUAUAUAUAUAUAUAUGAUAACAGUUUUUAUUUUAAAAUAAUACAUACACAAUUAAUCAUACUUAACUUAUAUCGAAGAAUAAGAUAAUGAAAUACUAGCUAGAAUUGAGCACCUGAUUUUGCUAAUUUGAUAUAUUCUAUAGUGAUAAAUAAUUGGUGUUAUAAUAGAAUUCGAUUGAGGUUAAAAGCUUUGUCUACGAAGAUAUUCAAAUUAAUAUUGAUAUAUUAAAAAGAAUUAAUACCUGAUUUUAUUAUUUGGAUAUGUUUUUAUUAUGAAAGAAUAUUCCUAGAGCUUAUCACAAAGAUCGAUUGGGCCAGAGUAUAAUUACAACUCCAAUUCAUGUGUUGGGAAAUAAAAAAUAAUUCAUUAAUUAGCGAUUGUUUGUCUCUCGUUGUCUUGGCUGUAAUAAUCCCUUUAGCUAGCUCAAGCUCAAAACUACUCUAAACAAGACUUCCUCAAUGCUCACAACAACGCUCGAGCACAGCUGGGUGUUGGACCUUUGGGAUGGAAUUAAAAUUAGCAAAAUUUGAAAAACCAUGAAAGUAAAAAAAAAUAAUAAUCUUGAAACAUAAAAUAUUAAAUCAUACCAGUCGCUAACAAAUUACUAAUCAGCUGAUCAUAGCACUAGUGUUAUUUAAUGAUACAAUUCAAUACAUGCAAAUCAAUAUUAAUACCUUAAAAAUAAUUAGAAAAAUAAUAUUAAUGGAUAUAUGAUAUUUUUUUCUCUAAUUUAUUAGGAUAUGAUUUUUUGAGGUAUUACAAUAAAUUUAAAGAGAAUUCAAAAAUACAUGUAAAAAAUUAUGGGUUGAGUCGAAUACGUACUUGGACGGAUAAAGAGACCAUUCAUCCUAUUUGACCCGACUUGACCGGGUGUGGAUCCAAUGUAAAUGAUGGUUAUAGGAAUACCGAGUUGGAUGCAGGUGCAAAACAACUCGACUCUCAACUCGACUCGGUCCAUUACCAUCCUAUUGGUUCUCUGCUUUUCCUGUCAUCAUCCAUUGGGUUAGUAGGUGCAAUCCAAGAUGCUACCUCAGUAAGAAUAGACUUAACUAUUCUUACACAUAUAAAUAUAUUUUAAAUAUAUUAUUAUAUGGAUUUAUCCAUCAUCUAAGAUUACAGAUCAGACUUAAUUUUUUACAUAUCAUUUUAUAGAAGCAUUAUUAAAAAUUUAUUUACAAUGAUGAAUUAAUAACUAUAUGUUAACAAAAUUCGCAUUCUAAAUUCAAAAAUACAAUUAGUUUGGUUCAUAAUCUUUUAUAUAUAUUAUUCUCAAUUAAGCUCGUUGGUAUUUUGAUCCUUUCUCUCUCCACACACACGUAUAGAGUAAUUUUCUCUCCCUCCCUGAUUUCCCUUUCUUUUCUUUCUUUUCUUUCUUCUUCUUCUUUUCCUUUGGAUACGAUGAGGUUUUUAUUUAAGCGGUCUACAAAAAUGGAGUUUUUAUAUUUAAUUUUUUCAGAUAUCGAUGCCAUAUAAUUAAUUUGUUAGUUAAGGUAAUUCACAUCUUAUGCCAUCUCUUGCGGUAACCAUUCAUUUAGAACAAAAUAUAUUAAGGAGAGCUGUUUUUUAAAGUAUAUUUUAUUUAUAAAUAUAUUAAAAUAAUAUUUUUUUAUAGUUUUUUAAUAAUUAUUUUUUAUAUCAGCAUAUCAAAAUAAUUAAAAACUAUAAAAAAAUUAAUUUUAAAUAAAAAAAUGAUUUCAAUUAAAAAAAAAACUCAAUUUGAAAUGCAAUUCUAAACAACAUAAGGGCCAUUUUUAGAAAAAUAAGUUGGCAUGGUGUAUUCAAAAUGAAGAUCAGAUAUCUUUCUUAAUAGACACUUUUAAUGAUGAUUUUAUAUAUUAAUAAUUUAAUCCAAAUCUACUUCCCAAAUUGGUGUCUCGAAAAUUGUUGCAUCGUAUGGGGUGGAUUCCCCUCGCACAGAGAACUCGCUCAUCCAAUGCUAAUAAUAAUAAUAAUAAUAAUAAUAAAACUCUUGGGAAAUUGACUGGCAAAUAUGGAUCUCCGCUUUUGGAAAAACUAAAAACUAGUUGUGUUACGUAAAUAAGAAUAAAUAAAAGACUAAUGCACUCAGUGUAUUAAAUAAAUCAAUAGCAAGCCUUUAAAUAGGCUGUACAGUAGCAAGGAAAUAGGAACAGAAUAAUAAUAAAAUCUCCACUAUCUAAAACGUGGAUGGAACUCCUAUAGAAUAGGUCUUUCAUUACUUAUUCCAGAUAAACUCAAAAGCAUAAUCAACAUAACUUAUUUUAACACCUUUCCUUAAACUAAUAUCUGUAGAUAGGAAUUAACAGCUGCUACUCCUUCUCUAAUGACAUCUUUUGAAGAGCACAGUCCAAGGAGAUUUCGAAGCUUGACAAAAAUUGCAGGCUUAAGAGGCUUAGUUAAUAUAUCUACAAUCUGAUCUUCACUCUUGCAGAACACCAGAUUAAUAACACCUUCCUUACAUAGAUCACGUAGGAAGUGAAACCUGACAUCAAUGUGUUUGUUUCUCCCAUGAAAUACUGGAUUCUUUGAAAGCUUUAUGGUGGACAUGUUAUCACAAUAGAUUAAGGUUGGACCUUGGUGCUGGUUGUUUUGUAAGAACUCAAGUAAUCUGCGUAACCAGAUUGCUUGACUUGAAGUUGAUGCUGCAACAACAAAUUCAGCUUCAGUGGUUGAUAAAGCUACUAUCUGUUGUUUUUUCGAAGACCAUGAAACAACUCCAGAAUUCAACAUGAACACCAAUCCGGAAGUACUUUUUAUCAUCCAUGCAUCUGAAUUUUGUAUCUUUAUACUCUUAUAACUAAUAUUUAUUAGUGAGACGUAAUCUUUUAUAUGCUUUUUAAGAAUUUUUCAUUCUUAUAUGUGUUCUUGUAUAUAAAUAUUUUUUUCUCGUGUGUGUGUGUGUAUAUAUAUAUAUAUAUAGCACUAAAAUAUCUUUCAAACUAUAUAUAUAUUUUUUUCUAACACUUAAAAAACAUCAAUGAUAAAAAAACUUAACAAAAUUUAAAAAAUCAAUAAAAUAGAGAAAAAAAAACUAGAAACCUAUUGUAACAUCUCAAGAAACUAAAAUAAAUCAUGAAAAUAUAUAUACAAAACACGUAGGGAACUAAGAUAAGAUUCAUUGUCAAAUUUAAUAAUUUUAUGUAUGAAAAGUUUUGUUGGUGUUUAUACUUACAGUUUUAUAUUGAAGAAUUCUAUCAAUGUUUCAAUUUAUAUUUAUCAAUUUUGUAGCCGUGGUUGUUUGUAGAAUACAAGACGAACAAGAUAUGUACUAAUUGAAAUACAAAGUACUAACCUAUCAAUAAGAAAUUUUGUAAGCUAGUUGCAUUUUAUUAAUUACUUCCAGAUUUAUUUUGAAAAAAAAAACAACAUAAGAAAACGAGAAAAUAAAAUUUAUUAUUAAAAUUUUUUUUGAUAAAAACAUCUAGAUUUCUUUCUCCGCUUAUACUUUUUUAUAAUUUUAAAAUGAAUCCUAAAAAGUAACUACUCUAAUUACUAAAAAAAAAUUUGAAGGAUUUUAGAAAGAUUAUUUGAUCAGUUUUUGCUCGAUUCUAGCAUGUUCCGCAAUUGACGAUGAGCCAAGGGAGGUAUAGUGUUUUUUUUACAGACUAUCCGGGUGCAUAACUUUACACGAAAAAGAAACAGAAUAGUCAAGAGUCUAAGACUAUGUUUGGUAACGAGGAUGCAACCUGUUUGGUAAAGAAAAAUAAAUAAUUUACAGUGUAUGGACCCUACAUGUUUUUACGUCUGAGACGCAGGAAAAAAAAAAGCAGCAAAAUGCUGCUUUUUACUCACUGCUCAUACUAAUUGCACUGUUCACUAAACAGUGCAAUUAUCAUGAACAAUGUACAUUGAUACACUGUUCACGUGAACAGUGCAAGAUAAUUGCAUUGUUCACUUAAAAAACAAUGAACAGUGCAAUUCACUUGCACUGUUCACGUGAACAGUUUUUUUCAGUGUGUUAAUUUUUUUAACAGUUUUUUUUUUAAAAAUAAAACUAGUUUAGAGUGAAUUAAAUUCACUCACACUGUGAUGUGAACAAUAUUUUUUUUCCCGAAAAACUAGUAUAUAGUGAAUUAAAUUCACUCGCACUGUAAUAUCAAUUUUAUAUCUGAUAAUGUUUUAUCUAAUUUUAUUACACUCUCAAAAAAUUAUGAAAACUGUAGUUCUUAUCGGAUGAAUUUUGUACGUAAUGGAAUUAUAAAUAGUUUAAUGAAAUAAUAAAAAAUAUUUUACAUAAAAUAUUAUUUAUUUCAUGAUGUAAUAGGAGUAAUUAAUUCUACAAUAUUUAAAUAUAAAACCAUCAAUAUUAAUAUAUAUAUUUUUAAAUUAUUUUAUAACCUCAAUUUCAAAAGCAUUCUUAAUCAAACACAUUAAACUACUUUUUCUUCAACCUCAGUUUCAACCACAGUUUUAACUAAACACCUAUUUUUUCAAACCAACCUCAACUAAAAAUACUUUUUAUAAAACAACUUUUUUCAAACCACAACCACAACAGCUACCGCAAUACCAAACACAUAAGUCGUCCAUUUCAAAAAAAUAAUCCAGUACUGUCUGCUUCUGACUAAAGGAUCUUUUUGAAGUUAUCUAGAUAUAGAAUCAAUUUAAAAAUAUUUUUUUUCCACACUAAUUCUGGUAUUGCAACUUGGCAUUAUUUUAAGUUGGAAAUUCUAUCAAUCACUCAACAAUUUGAAAAGAAAAAAAAAGUGUAUAGAAAGCACGGGUUUGUUAUUAUAUAUAUAUAUAUAUAUAUAUAUAUAUAAAAAGCAUUUUAACUAUUUGUUUUUUUAAUUGCUGUUAUUAUUAUUUUCACCUUACAUAUAAAAUUUUAAAAUUUUAAUUGAUCAACAAGUUGUAAAUUUAGAUAGUUUAAUUGGUGAAAUUCUGAAUUUGUUUUUCAGAGAUCAUUAAUUUGAGUGUCACAAAUCUCAUAACCACUAGAAGUUUAUAUUGUCGUUAACUUCAAGGUCUUUAAGGAUUAGUCGAGGUAUACGUAAAUUGAUCCAGACUUUUAUUAUUAAAAAAAAAAAAAAAAACUAGCUGAUGUUCAAAACAGCCCAGGUGUUCCUAUCAUGUUAAUCCAUGUUACACGGCACUUCUUUGUUUUGAGAUGCUGCCACCACAUGCUUGACCUCAAAAAAAACAAAAACCUUCACUUUUUUUUUUCUGUCUUUUGGGGUCUUGACUCAUGGUCAAGAGAUAAAACACGUUCGGAUAUUCUCGAAUAUGCUAACUUUUGAUGGGCGUGUUACACGCUCUUCUUCUCUUAAUUUUAUGAGAGGUAAUAUAUAUUUUCGAAUAAAUUCGGCAAAUAAAGAUUGAAUUAUUUUUGUCAUUCUGCUAAGGUCAGUUAUUGCUAAAACUUUAAGAUUCAUGAGAGCUUUAAUAUCCCAAAAAGGAGAUAUAUCCCUAAAAAUCAGGCUAAUAUUCCCUCGUAUUCAUGUUAAUAAUCCAUUUUGUAUAUCAUGGUUAAUUUGUAGGUUUAAAAGAAGAUUUUUUAAAAAGAAAUUCUUUGAAUGAUUACAUGUCACUAGGAAAUCAAUUAGUUGUUCGGUAAUUUUCUUUGAAUGAUUCCACCAAUAGCAUGUCCUUCCUAAAAUAUAAGGCAACAGACAAAAAUCUAAGAGCUUAUUAGGCUUUUCAUCUAAUUAAAAAAAUUGAAAAUAUUAAUUUGAUGAUAAAGGAGAUUUUUUUUUUAAAAUAGAAUUCAAAUCUUAUAAUCAAUAUUUACAAAGAUUUAUUAAAUUUAUUUGCAUACAUCAUACCGAUAAUAUUUUUAAUUAAAAUUAUCUUGAAAAAAACGUAACUUUUAUAUUCUUCUUUUUAUUAAAUAAAAAAAAAUUAUUAAGAUAAUGACACAUAACAUGGUAGACCAGUGUGAAAAUUAUGAAUGAAAUUAUUGGAUUGGUGGAGUGUUAGUGGUUCUCUUCCUUGCCAUGUGAAUGAUCUAUUACAUCAGUGACCCAACCUAGUGUUUGAAAAAUUCCAGUGUAAGACUUGGCCUAUACUUUCUUGUUUUGUUGUGUUAGCUAAAAUAUAUGGCUCACAAAGAAUAAGAUUAUCUUCAAUAUUGGAACUGCGACUUUUGAAGACAGUUUCUCCUUGAUUUUAUAUCGUCUCUCAAAUUGGCUCAAAUCUGCAGAUAAGUUUUUUAUAGCUACUAGAACUGAUUUAUUUAUGGGGCCUAAAUGUAUUAUAGAUUGGUCUAACAACACCAAAUAAAGAUUUUAAACAUGGCGCAUCAACUCUUUUAGUCCUUAUGCUUGUUUUCUAAUCUUUAUCUGUCAACUUUUUAUUUUUCAUUAUCUGCCUUUUUUUUUUUAUCUGUCAACUUUCUAAUCCUUGAUUAUUCCUUAUGCUACAUUCUACUUAGUCCUUUUAAGAUAUCGAAUUCUUUCGGAAAAAAAAAAAACAGAGAAAGAGAGCAGAUAAUUACAUAAAACUUACUACCUCGCGAUGAAAUCCUAAGAUGAAAUCCAGCAAGAAAAUGUCUUAGUAAUUGAACACAUUGAUCAGGCACGACCAUAUGUAGUCAGCAUCGAUUUAUUCAAGAAAAUCGACUUAGAAUUUGGCAUCUAUGGUAAUAUUCAAAUAGAAAUUUAUUUUUUCUAAUUAAACUUUUUUAGGUUAAAUAAUCAAUUCAACUUAAAAACUUAAAAUAUUAAAUAAAAUUUUAAAAUAUAUUUUAUAUUAUUCUUUAAUAUACUCUUUCAAAUAAAAAAAAUUUUAAGUUUGAAAUUUGUAUAACCUCAUAUUAUUUUGUACUUAAUUUUUAUAAAAAAAAUAAAAUAAUAAGAUUCGAACUCAUAAUUAAUUGGUUAUCAAAGUUUUAAUGUCAUGUUAAAAACUAAUUCAACCAAAAAAUAGAUCCUAUGUAUAAUUUAUAAUACUCUACAUAAAUUAAACCAUUUGAUCGAAUCACUUGCUGCCAAAACAUCCAUACAUUUUCAUCCAAUUAAUGUGAAGCCGACAUUUCUUCAACUUUUCCAAGGGACUUGCUUUGGAGUCCGUCAUUUAACGCUAUUGUUUUGAACAUUACACAGCUGCUAAAUGGAUAGUUCAUAAUAAAAAAAAUAGUAUUUUGAUUUUUUUUUGUUUGUUUUUUAUAUUUCAAAGUAAAAGCCAAACAAAAUACUAAAAUAUCUUUUCUUUUCCAAAAAUAUUAUUCUUACAUAUCUUUUAAAAAAACUAAAAUUAACAAAGUAGGGCCAACAAAAGAAUAAGCCAAUUAAAUAUAGCCACGUGGAAAAAAAAUAACAUCAAAAUUAUUAAAAAAAAUAAAACACUUAUUUAUUCUAAAUUGGCUUUUCAAAUAGCUUUUUUCCAUUGAAGUACUAUACAUGAUAAAAUAAAAACUAUAUUUAUACUAUUUAAAAUACUAUUACAUCAAUUUACCUUUUUAAAAUAGCUUCUCCCAUCAGAAAUAGUGUAACGCCUAUAAAUACCGUUUGAGCUCUCAUUGUUAUUUCAUCCAUCACCUACGAAAUUCUUUUGCGUGAUAAAAAAAGAGAGAGUGUGCAAAAUGAUGUCAAGCAAGAUUUCUCUUGCUUUCUUUACUCUUAUAACCUUAUCCCUAAUCCUUCCCUCUCGUGCCCAAGACAACCCACAAGAUUACCUUGAUGCUCAUAAUGCAGCUCGUGCAGCUGUAGGUGUUGGUCCACUAACCUGGGACACCACAGUGCAAGCCUAUGCACAAAAUUAUGCUAACCAACGUGCCGGCGAUUGCAACCUUGUCCAUUCAGGUGGACCUUAUGGGGAGAACAUUGCAUGGAGCAGCGCGGACCUUUCAGGUACAGAUGCUGUAAAAAUGUGGGUUGAUGAGAAGGCUUACUACGACUACAACUCCAACUCAUGUGCCGCUGGCCAGCAGUGUGGGCACUAUACUCAGGUGGUUUGGCGUAAUUCUGCUCGCCUAGGAUGUGCUAAAGUGAAGUGUAGCACCGGAGGAACCUUCAUUGGGUGCAACUAUGAUCCACCCGGCAACUAUGUUGGGCAAAAACCUUACUAAACCUUUCUGAUUAUGAAAUUAGUGCUUCUAUUACCUGGAAUAUUAGUGAUAAAUAAGCUGAUUUAUAUUGGCAUUAAUUAAUAUAUGAUAGAAAAAUAUUUGCUACAUCUUGAUGAUAUGCUGAUUGCUGGCAUACAGGAAGUUCACGUGGUAUACGUUUGGAUGAUGUUAUAUAUAUAUAUAUAUAUAAAUAUAAUUAGCUUCUUAUAAUUUUAAUUAUAGUCAGAAUGAUCACAACUUAUGUGUUAUAGCAUCCAUUUUCAAUUCAAAUUAUCACUACAAGAUUUAACAGUUUUACCGACGGAAUUUUUUCGUUGGUGUAAGACACAUAUUCCAUCGGUAAUUAUAUUACCGACGGAAUCACAGAUGGAACAUACGCGUCGGUAAUAAUAUUUUUUAUUACCAACGGAAUUACCGAGGGAUAUACCGACGGAAUUACCGACGGAAAUUUCGUCGGUAAUUAUAUAAAAACAUUUUUAAAAAAAUUAUUUUAUAAAAUUAUAAAAUAAUUAAAUUAACAUAAAUCAACACUCUAUAAUAUAUACUCAAAAUGCUUGGAAAAAAGAAUAAGAAAAUCAACUCAAACAAAUUUGUAACAAAUAAAUAAAACAAAAAAAUAAAUUCAACUAAAAAAAUUCAUAUGAAAAAAAUAAAGUUACAAUUGCUAAAAAUUUAAAAAUCCCUAUAAAUAAAUCAACUAAAAAUUGAUCUCAUAUGAAAAAAAAAAUCUCACAACAACAUUUAUACAAUUAUUAAGAACACAAAAAAUUAAAAAUAAAAUAAAAUAACAAAUAUAGUGAAAAAUAUCAUGAAAAAAGAAGGAAAAAAAAAAUCUUACCUUAAUGUAGUUGCAAGUGAAGCUAAGGAGAGAAAAAUAAAUCGUAAAGCAUAUUAAUUAAAAAAAAGUAAGAAGAUAAAAGAAGAAAGAAGAAGAAGACAUACCCCGAGCAUAGAGGGAAAGAGAAGGAGAUGAGGAGAGAAAAGAAGAGAAAGAAAUAGAUAUUGAUGUUUUUUACAUAUAGUGAAGAAGAAGAAGAAGAAGAAAAGUAGUAGAAGAAGAAUAAUAAGAAAUGAGUUUAUCUCUUAUGAAAUAAGGGGAUCCAGACUUUUUAUUGAGGCGUGUUAGCGACGGAUUUACCGACAGAUAAUUGAAUAUUAAUAUUUUUUAAUUAUUCCGUCGGUAAUUCCAUCGGUAAUAUUUAAUUUAAAUUUUCAAUUUCAUAAAAAGUUUUCAGAAACCGCCAACAAUUACCGAUAAUUUUUCAAUCCGUCAGUGAUUCCGUCUGUAAUAUUAUACUUCAAUUCAUGUGUUGGGAAAUAAAGAAUAAUUCAUUAAUUAGCGAUUGUUUGUCUCUCGUUGUCUUGGCUGUAAUCAUCCCUUUAGCUAGCUCAAGCUCAAAACUACUCUAAACAAGACUUCCUCAAUGCUCACAACAACGCUCGAGCACAGGGUGGGUGUUGGACCUUUGGGAUGGAAUUAAAAUUAGCAAAAUUUGAAAAACCAUGAAAGUAAAAAAAAAAAAAAAAUCUUGAAACAUAAAAUAUUAAAUCAUACCAGUCGCAAACAAAUUACUAAUCAGCUCAUACCACUAGUGUUAUUUAAUGAUACAAUUCAAUACAUGCAAGUCAAUAUCUAGUAUUAAUACCUUAAAAAUAAUUAGAAAAAUAAUAUUAAUGGAUAUAUGAUAUUUUUUUCUCUAAUUUGGAUAUGAUUUUUUGAGGUAUUACAAUAAAUUUAAAGAGAAUUCAAAAAAACAUGUAAAAAAUUAUGGGUUGAGUCGGAUAGGUACUUGGACUGAUAAAAAAAACCUUUCAUCCUAUUUGAUCCGACUUGAGCGGGUGUGGAUCCAAUGCAAAUGAUGGUUAUAGGAAUACCGAGUUGGAUGCAGGUGCAAAACAACUCGACUCGGUCCAUUACCAUCCUAUUGGUUCUCUGCUUUUCUUGUCAUCAUCCAUUGGGUUAGUAGGUGCAAUCCAAGAUGCUACCUCAGUAAGAAUAGACUCAACUAUUCUUACACAUAUAAAUGUAUUUUAAAUAUAUUAUUAUAUGAAUUUAUCCAUCAUCUAAGAUUAUGGAUCAGACUUAAUUUUUUACAUAUCAUUUUAUAGAAGCAUUAUUAAAAAUUUAUUUACAAUGAUGAAUUAAUGACUAUAUGUUAACAAAAUUCGCAUUCUAAAUUCAAAAAUACAAUUAGUUUGGUUCAUAAUCUUUUAUAUAUAUUGCUCUCAAUUAAGCUCGUUGCUAUUUUGAUCCUUUCUCUCUCUCCACACACACACACGUAUAGAGUAAUUUUCUCUCCCUUCCUGAUUUCCCUUUCUUUUCUUUCUUUUCUUUCUUCUUCUUCUUUUCCUUUGGAUACGAUGAGGUUUUUAUUUAAGCGGUCUACAUAAGUGAAGUUUUUAUAUUUAAUUUUUUCAGAUAUCGAUGCCAUAUAAUUAAUUUGUUAGUUAAGGUAAUUCACAUCUUAUGCCAUCUCUUGCUGUAACCAUUCAUUUAGAACAAAAUAUAUUAAAGGGGCUGUUUUUUAAAGUAUAUUUUAUUUAUAAAUAUAUUAAAAUAAUAUUUUUAUAGUCUUUUAAUAAUUAUUUUUUAUAUCAGCAUAUCAAAAUAAUUAAAAACUAUAAAAACAAUUAAUUUUAAAUAAAAAAAAAUGAUUUCAAUUUAAAAAAACUCAAUUUGAAAUGUAAUUUUAAACAACAUAAGGGCCAUUUUUAGAAAAAUAAGUUGGAAUGGUGUAUUCAAAAUGAAGAUCAGAUAUCUUUCUUAAUAAAAACACUUUUAAUGAUGAUUUUAUCUAUUAAUAAUUUAAUCCAAAUCUACUUCCCAAAUUGGUGUCUCGAAAAUUGUUGCAUCGUAUGGGGUGGAUUCCCCUCACACAGAGAACUCGCUCAUCCAAAUGCUAAUAAUAAUAAUAAUAAAAAACUCUUGGGAAAUUGACUGAUAAAUAUGAAUCUUUGUUUAUGAUGUGCGCAAACUGAUCCAAACAUCCACAUUAAAUUAAAAAAAAAAACUAGUUGAAGUGUAUAGACAAAUUGGUAAUCAAUAGAUGGCUGGAAAAAUGGAAAACCAUUUUGAAAAUCGUAAUCCUAUGAUAUAAAUACUAUAUUAUAAUAAGAUGAAUAAAAUCAGAUAUGCAUACAAAAAUGAUUGAGGAUUUAAUAACUUUACUAUUAUAUGUGAAUUCACAGUUUGCUUUGUGCCCAUGAUUAAGAAGAACAAAGAAAAAAAACGAAGGAAAGAAGUUGCUCUGUGCCUGGAAUGGAGACGGCUAGGUUACAAGUAGUCAUUUGCGUUCAUGUCUCCCUGGCCCAGGCUUCUGCCGAUGAUUUUGUUAAAGCCCAUAACGAAAUUCGUGUACAGGUUGGGGAUGUCCCGAUUUCUUGGAACAAAAACAUUGGCAGCCGGAGCCUGUUUGGGCAAGGGAACUUGCUAUACCAAGGAUCUCCUGCUGCAAUUUAAUCGAAGACAUGUUCACUGAAGGCCUCUUAUCCUUUGACUGCGUCUGAAGCUGUUGGGUUGUGGUGCCAGCGAGAAACCUUCCUAGGAUUAUUUUGCCUAGUCAAAAAUUUUACAUGAGUUUUUUUUUUUAAAUUGGAUUUUAAAUAUUCAUAGCAAGCUAUCUAAUGCAUAAAUUUAUUAACGGGAGAGAUUUUCACUGUAUAUUUUUUACUGUGCAAAAUUUUAUUUUAUUUUUUUUCAAUUUAAUCCUUAAACUUUGUUUUUUGCAAUCAAGUCAAAGAGCAAUUAAUUUCAAAUUCUUAUGAAAAGGUGAGAUUGAAAGGGGGAGGACUGAAAUUAAAAAUACGGCAAACAUAGGUGACGUAUCACAAGUUUAAAAAACAUUUACUUUGGUCCUCCAACUUAAAUAAUCACGCAAAUUAUACAAUUACAGUUCAUUGAAAUUGUUCCAAUUCCAUUUUGGUACAUAGAUUUAUUUUUAUUAAUUUUUAUCCUUAGUCGAGAGAGGAGAGAGAGAGGGGUCGCCGGACCCCGUUAAUAGAGAGGGAAAAACUUGUCAUCGGCACCGAUUUAGACCAUAAAAAUAAAAGAUUUUUACGUCAAAUUGUUUUAUUUGAAACGGAGAAUUUAUAUUAAGUGUUUUUAUAUCUUAAAAGUUCUUGAAAAAAUAUAUCUGAAUUCAAAUUAAAGACAAUAGAAAGUGAUGACAUGUAUCGAGGUUUACUCUUAUGCAAUUAAUUUCUAGAAUAUCCAUGCAUCUGAAUUUUGUAUCUUUAUACUCUUAUAACUAAUAUUUAUUAGUGAGACGUAAUGUUUUAUAUGCUUUUUAAGAAUUUUUCAUUCUUAUAUGUGUUCUUGAAUAUAAAUAUUUUUUUCUCGUGUGUGUAUAUAUAUUUUUAUCUUUAGCACUAAAAUAUCUUUAAAACUAUAUAUUAAUUUUUUUUCUAACACUUAAAAAACAUCAAUGAUAAAAAAAACUUCACAAAAUUUAAAAAAUCAAUAAAGUAGAGAAAAAAAACUAGAAACAUAUUGUAACAUCCCAAGAAACUAUAAUAAAUCAUGAAAAUAUAUAGACAGAACACGUAGGAACUAAGAUAAGAUUCAUUGUCAGAUUUAAUAAUUUUAUGUAUGAAAAUUUUUGUCAUUGUUUAUACUUACAGUUUUACAUUGAAGAAUUCUAUCGAUAUUUCGGUUUAUAUUUAUUAAUUUUAUAACCGUGGUUGUUUGUAGAAUUCAAGACAAACAAGAUAUGUACUAAUUGAAAUACAAAGUACAAACCUAUUAAUAAGAAAUUUUUGUAUGGUAGUUGCAUUUUGUUAAUCACUUCGUAGUUUAUUUUGAAAAACAAAAUAUAAAAGAACAAGAAAAUAAAAUUUAUUAUUCAUAAAAAAAAUGAUAAAAACAUCUAGAUUUCUUUCUCCACUUAUAUUUUUUUUAUAAUUUUAAAAUGAAUCCUAAAAAGUAACUACUCUAAUUACUAUAAAAAAAAUUUGAAGGGUUUUAAAAAGAUUAUUUGAUCAGUUUUUGCUCGAUUCUAGCAUGUUCCGCAAUUGACGAUUAGCCAAGGGAGAUAUAGUGUUUUUUUUUACAGACUAUCCGGGUGCAUCACUUUACACGAAAAGGAAACAGAAUAGUCAAGAGUCUAAGUCGUCCAUUUCAAAAAAAAUAAUCAAGUACUGUCUGCUUUCUGACUAAAGGAUCUUUUUGAAGUUAUCUAGAUAUAGAAUAAAUUUCAAAAUAAUUUUUUUCUACACUAAUUCUGGUAUUGCAACUCGGCAUUAUAUUAAGUUGGAAAUUCUAUCAAUCACUCAACAAUUUGAAAAAAAAACAAAGUUUAUAGAAAGCACGGGUUUGUUAUCAUAAAAAAAAAAAACUAGCAUUUUAACUAUUUCUUUUUUUAAUUAAUAACCAACUUUCUGUUAUAAUUAUUUUCACCUUACAUAUAAGCUUUUAAUUGAUUAGACUCAACCAGUUGUAAAUUUAGUAUAGUUUAAUUGGUCAGAUUCUGAAUUUAAUUUUUAGAAAUUAUUAAUUUAAGUGAUACAAAUCUCAGGACCACUAUAGAUUUACAUCGUUAACUUCAGGAUCUUAAAAAUUUAGUUAAAGUAUACGUAAACGAGUUCGAACACCACCGUUACAAAAAAAAAAAAAAAAACUAGCUGAUGUUCAAAACAGCCCAGGUGUUCCUAUCAUGUUAAUCCAUGUUACACGGCACUUCUUUGUUUUGAGAGGCUGCCAACACAUGCUUGGCCUCAAAAAAAACAAAAACCUUCACUUUUUUUCUGUCUUUUGGGGUCUUGACUCAUGGUCAAGAGAUAAAACACGUUCGGAUAUUCUCGAAUAUGCUAACUUUUGAUGGGCGUGUUACACGCUCUUCUUCUCUUAAUUUUAUGAGAGGUAAUAUAUAUUUUCGAAUAAAUUCGGCAAACAAAGAUUGAAUUAUUUUUUUCAUUCUGCUAAGGUCAGUUAUUGCUAAAACUUUAAGAUUCAUGAGAGCUUUAAUAUCCCAAAAAGGAGAUAUAUCCCUAAAAAUCAGGCUAAUAUUCCCACGUAUUCAUGUUAAUCCAUUUUGUAUAUCAUGGUUAAUUUGUAGGUUUAAAAGAAGAUUUUUUUAAAAAAAAAUUCUUUGAAUGAUUACAUGUCACUAGGAAAAUCAAUUAGUUGUUCGGUAAUUUCUCAAGAGAAAACAAGAAAAGGUGUCAUGUUUUAGACGCAACAAUGGAAGCGGCGUGAUUUGUGGAACAAAAACUUGCUAGGACAAGAACAAGAUUAGUGCAAGCAGGCGGUAAGAAAGAAGAAAAACAUAGGAAAUUCAAAAUGCCAUAUAAUAAUUCAAACUGAAGUAAUCCCAGACCUCCCACUCAUCUAAAAAUUAAUUAAUCAGUCCGAGUUUUGAUUCAACUGAACAUACACCAAUACCAUGUCCUCCCUAAAAUAUAAAGCAACAGACAAAAAUCUAAGAGCUUAUUAGGUUUUCAUCUAAUUAAAAAAAUUGAAAAUAUUAAUUUGAUGAUCAAGGAGAUUUUUUUAAAAAAAAAUUGAAUUCAAAUCUUAUAAUCAAUAUUUACAAAGAUUUAUUAAAUUUAUCUGCAUACAUGCAUCAUACGAUAAUAUUUUUAAUUAAAUUAUUUUGAAAAAAACAUAACUUUUAUAUUAUCCUUUUCAUUAAAUAAAAAAAAAUAUUAAGAUAAUUACACAUAACAUGGUAGACCGGUGUGAAAAUUAUGAAUGAAAUUAUUGGAUUGGUGGAGUGUUAGUGGUUCUUUUCCCUGCUAUGUGGAUGAUCUAUUACAUCAGUGACCUAACCUAGUGUUUGAAAAAUUUAAGUGUUAGACUUGGUCUAUAUUUUCUUGUUGUGUUAGCUAAAGUAUAUGGCUUACGAAGAACAAUGUUAUCUUCAAUGUUGGAACUGCGAUCUUUGAAGACAGUUUCUCCUUGAUUUUAUAUCGUCUCUCGAAUGAACUCAAAUCUGCAGAUAAGUUUUUCAUAGCUACUAGAACUGAUUUAUUUAUGGGGUCUAAAUGUAUUAUAGAUUGGUCUAACAACAUCAAAUGAAGGCUUUAAACAUGACACAUCAACUCUUUCAGUCCUUAUACUUUUUUUCUAAUCUAUAUCUGUUGGCUUUUUAUUUUUUAUUAUCUGCUUUUUGUUUUUAGAUUAUUCUGUUUUGUUUUUGUUUUUUUUUUAUCUCUUGCUUUUGGCUAGUUCCUUUAAUAUAUCGAAUUCUUUCAAAAAAAAAAAAAAAGAUAAUUACAUAAAACUUACUACCUCGCGAUGAAAUCCUAAGUUGAAAUCUAGCAAAAAAAUGUCUUAGUAAUUGAACACAUUGAUCAGGCACGACAUAUCUGGUCAGCAUCGAUUUAUUCAAGAAAAUCAACUUAGAAUUUGGCAUCUGGUAAAUUCAAAUAGAUAUUUAUUUUUUUCUAAUUAAACUUCAUUAUAUCAAAUAACCAAUUUAUAACCAAUUUAAUUUAAAAGCUCAAGAUACUAAAUAAAAUUCUAAAAUAUAAUUUAUAUUAUUUUUUAAUACACUUUUUCAAAUAAAAAAAUUUUUGAUCUUGAAAUUUAUAUAACUUUAUACUAUCUUGUGUUUAAUUUUUAUUAAAUAAAUAAAAUAAUGAGAUUUAAAGUCAUAAUCGCUUAGUUAUCAAGAUUUUAAUGUAAAGUAAAAUUUAAUUCAACCCAAAAAUUUAAUAUAUAAUUUAUAAUAUUCUACAUAAAUUAAACCGUUUGAUCGAAUCACUUGCUGCCAAAACAUCCAUACAUUUUCAUCCAAUUAAAGUGAAGCCGACAACUUCUACUUUUCCAAGGGACUUGCUUUGGAGCCCGUCAUUUAACGCUAUUGUUUUGAACAUUCUACGCAGACAAUCGAUCCAAGCAUUUAACGCUAUUGUUUUGAACAUUCUACGCAGACUUCGCUUGCAUACUUCCAAAUCAUCGUUCACAUAAUGUUGCAGAACGCCUAUAAAUACCGUUUGAGCUCUCAUUGUUAUUUCAUCCAUCACCUACGAAAUUCUUUUGCAAGAUAAAAAAAGAGAAAUUAAGUGUGCAAAAUGAUGUCAAGCAAGAUUUCUCUUGCUUUCUUUACUCUUAUAACCUUAUCCCUAAUCCUUCCCUCUCGUGCCCAAGACAACCCACAAGAUUACCUUGAUGCUCAUAAUGCAGCUCGUGCAGCUGUAGGUGUUGGUCCACUAACCUGGGACACCACAGUGCAAGCCUAUGCACAAAAUUAUGCUAACCAACGUGCCGGCGAUUGCAACCUUAUCCAUUCAGGUGGACCUUAUGGGGAGAACCUUGCAUGGAGCAGCGCGGACCUUUCAGGUACAGAUGCUGUCAAAAUGUGGGUUGAUGAGAAGGCUUACUACGACUACAACUCCAACUCAUGUGCCGCUGGCCAGCAGUGUGGGCACUAUACUCAGGUGGUUUGGCGGAACUCUGCUCGCCUAGGAUGUGCUAAAGUGAAGUGUAGCACCGGAGGAACCUUCAUUGGGUGCAACUAUGAUCCACCCGGCAACUAUGUUGGGCAAAAACCUUACUAAACCUUUCUGAUUAUGAAAUUAGUGCUUCUAUUACCUGGAAUACUAGUGAUAAAUAAGCUGAUUUAUAUUGGCAUUAAUUAAUAAAUGAUAGAAAAAUAUUUGCUACACUUGAUGAUAUGCUGGCAUACAGGAAGUUCACGUGGUAUACGUUUGGAUGAU
rnacentral:lncRNA from 1 species